rnacentral:rRNA from 1 species
CCUACGGGUGGCAGCAGUGAGGAAUAUUGGUCAAUGGCCGGAAGGCUGAACCAGCCAUGCCGCGUGAAGGUCAGUGCCCUAUGGGCGUUAAACUUCUUUUGUGCGGGAGCAAUAAUGGUCACGUGUGGCCAGACGAGAGUACCGUACGAAUAAGCAUCGGCUAACUCCGUGCCAGCAGCCGCGGUAAUACGGGGGAUGCAAGGGUUAGCCGGAUUUGGUGGGUUUAAAGGGUGCGUAGGCUGGGAGGUAAGUCAGGGGGGGAAUGCCCCCGCUCAACGGGGUGAAGUGCAAUUGAUACUGCCUUGCUGGAGUGCGGAUGAGGUGGGAGGAAUUUGUGGUGUAGCGGUGAAAUGCAUAGAUAUCACACAGAACACCGAUUGCGAAGGCAGCUCACGAAUCCGUGAUUGACGCUGAUGCACGAAAGCGUGGGUAUCAAACAGGAUUAGAUACCCGAGUAGUC